rnacentral:rRNA from 1 species
UGGGGAAUUUUGGACAAUGGGGGAAACCCUGAUCCAGCCAUCCCGCGUGGGCGAAGAAGGCCUUCGGGUUGUAAAGCACUUUUGGCAGGAAAGAAACGUCAUGGGUUAAUACCCCGUGAAACUGACGGUACCUGCAGAAUAAGCACCGGCUAACUACGUGCCAGCAGCCGCGGUAAUACGUAGGGUGCAAGCGUUAAUCGGAAUUACUGGGCGUAAAGCGUGCGCAGGCGGUUCGGAAAGAAAGAUGUGAAAUCCCAGAGCUCAACUUUGGAACUGCAUUUUUAACUACCGGGCUAGAGUGUGUCAGAGGGAGGUGGAAUUCCGCGUGUAGCAGUGAAAUGCGUAGAUAUGCGGAGGAACACCGAUGGCGAAGGCAGCCUCCUGGGAUAACACUGACGCUCAUGCACGAAAGCGUGGGGAGCAAACAGG